GCAGCUAGGGGGAGCUCCAGAGCACAGCUCCUCCCGGGCCCUUAGUAAGCCAGCCGAGGGAAGCUCAGAACUCUCUGCUCCUCCAUGCUCUGGAUGAUAGCCAAAGACAGCUGAAUCCCGCCCUGCCCGUUUUUGUGCGCCCUGCCGCCCCGCCGUUUGCUGCCUGCCGGACCCCUCCACGUCGGCCAGCCGUGCGCCGCCAGACCCGGCGGCUCUAUGGACGCAGUGUAACAGCGUCCUGGUUACCAUGGAAACUCCCUGCGACACGGCGCGCCAUGAUGACGUCACCCGUGAGACGCGGUAGUGGACCGGGAGAGCGGCAUCGUCGGCGUGCUGUGGAGCAGGUGAGUGACAUUAGAGCUCAUUGUGAUUUUGAUUUGGUUGGGGAUUUAAGAAAGUACGUUUGUGCACAUUGAUUAUUACUGCCCUGA